ACGAACGCUGGCGGCGUGCUUAACCCAUGCCAGUCGAACGGAAAGGCCCUGCUUGCAGGGUACUCGAGUGGCGAACGGGUGAGUAACACGUGGGUGAUCUGCCCUGCACUUCGGGAUAAGCCUGGGAAACUGGGUCUAAUACCGGAUCGGAGCCAUUUUUAGUGUGCUGGUUGGAAAGUUUUUUCGGUGUAGGGUGAGCUCGCGGCCUAUCAGCUUGUUGGUGGGGUGGUGGAGUACCAAGGCGGCGGCGGGUAGCCGGCCUGAGAGGGUGGACGGCCACAGAGGCAGAGAGAAGGGGCACAGACGCAAGGGGGAGAGAGGGGGGGAAGAUUGAACAAGAGGGGCAAGAGUGAGGUGGAGAGGCGGCGGGGGGGAGAACGCGGCGUGGGUGGUAUAAACACUUUGCAAGGGACGAGGAGCUUUGUGACGGUACCUAGAUAAGAAGCACCGGCUAACUACGUG
rnacentral:rRNA from 1 species